rnacentral:rRNA from 1 species
UACGUAGGGGGCAAGCGUUAUCCGGAUUUACUGGGUGUAAAGGGAGCGUAGACGGCAAUACAAGUCGGAAGUGAAAUACCCGGGCUCAACCUGGGAACUGCUUUGGAAACUGUAUGGCUGGAGUGCUGGAGAGGUAAGCGGAAUUCCUAGUGUAGCGGUGAAAUGCGUAGAUAUUAGGAGGAACACCAGUGGCGAAGGCGGCUUACUGGACAGUAACUGACGUUGAGGCUCGAGAGCGUGGGGAGCAAACAGG